UGAUGCAAAGUCUGUGAACUACGCUGCCUA
rnacentral:piRNA from 1 species